GGUUGAUCCUGCCAGUAGUCAUAUGCUUGUCUCAAAGAUUAAGCCAUGCAUGUCUAAGUAUAAGCUUUUAUACGGUGAAACUGCGAAUGGCUCAUUAAAACAGUUAUAGUUUAUUUGAUGGUCUCUUUUACAUGGAUAACCAUGGUAAUUCUAUGGCUAAUACAUGCGCAAUGUCCUCCCUCGCGAGAGGGAGGGCUGUGUUUAUUAGAUACAAAACCAACCCACUUUGUGGAGUCUUGGUGAUUCAUAGUAACCGAACGGAUCGCAAUUGGCUUCGGCCCGCGAUGGAUCUU
rnacentral:rRNA from 1 species